rnacentral:rRNA from 1 species
CACGUAGGGCGCAAGCGUUGUCCGGAAUUAUUGGGCGUAAAGAGCUCGUAGGCGGUCUGUUGCGUCCGCUGUGAAAACUCGGGGCUUAACCCCGAGCCUGCAGUGGAUACGGGCGGACUGGAGUCGGCAGGGGAGACUGGAAUUCCCGGUGUAGUGGUGAAAUGCGUAGAUAUCGGGAGGAACACCAGUGGCGAAGGCGACUAUCUGGGCUGAAACUGACGCUGAGGCGCGAAGGCUAGGGGAGCAAACAGG